rfam:Citrus sinensis cultivar Ridge Pineapple sweet orange scaffold00932_contig_2, whole genome shotgun sequence.
CUGCACGACGCUACCCCGGGCUUCUCUGAAGUUCAAAAGUGACGAAGAAGCCCCAAUGCUUGUGCUAAAUCGCCGCCGUUAAGUGUUGCAGUUUAGCCUCUUUUUUUCUUCCACGGCUCAUCUGUGUCAAAGUAACGGCCAAAUCC